rnacentral:lncRNA from 1 species
UCCUCAAAUACGAAGAAAUGAAAGGAAACCUAGUGGGUCAAAUAAAAAAUCUGGCGGAGUUCAUGGGAUUGCCGUUCUCAGAGGAGGAAGAGAAAGAGGGUGCCAUUGAUGAAAUAGCCGAGUUCUGCAGCUUGAGCAACCUCAAGAACCUGGAAGUGAACAAAAGCGGCAGCCUCAAAACCAUGAAACGAAAAACCAACUCUUUCUUCAGGAAAGGUGAGGCGGGUGAUUACGUUAAUUUUCUGAGCCCAUCGGCGGUGGAACGUUACAGUAAGAUCGUGGAUGGAAAACUCAGUGGUUCUGGUUUGACCUUCAAAAUGUGUUGUUAAGAUCACAAAAUUAUAUGUUUAUUUAUUGUUAACAUAAUUUUCUAGUAAGUACAUUAAAAUAAGGACGUGGUAAAUGGACCAAUGCUCCCAUUUCCUUCGUUUGCAUCAUGUUUCCAUCUUCUUCUUCUUAUUAUUAUAAACAGGUGAUUGCACCACCGGAUCUUUAAAACAAUGUCCCGGAAUACCAUCCCCGGGAACACCAUUGUAAUUCAAAAUUGCUUUUAAAAAGGUUCUUUUUAAUGAUUUUUAGAAAAUAUGCUUUUAAAAAUGUGGUAAAAUAAUGUUGUAAAAAAAUUUGUGAUUUGUUUGUGGUUGAGGACUACAAUGUCUUCUUUAACAUGAUAAUAAAAAAUUAAAAAUGAAUUAAAUUAUUUUUAUAAACCUAUUGAUAAACAGAUGGCCGUGUAAUUCCAAAAAUCUUUAAAUUCUUUCUUUUGUAACUCUUAUAACCCCUAUAUAAAUAUCUUACUUAUAAUUUUUUUUAGAAGUAAAAUUCUUAUCUAUUAAAGAUUAGAUCUAUCCUCCCUGAUUUUUCAUACGAAGCUUUAGACACAAGAUGCAAAAAGUUUUGCAGGGAGUUUUUAUUUAACGUUUUAUAUUGGAUUUUUUUUUAAAGUCAUGAAUAAUUAUGAUGAUUUUGUUUAAUUUAUUUUAUUUCUAUAUUUUAAGGAUGGUAAAACAUUUAAUAUUAAUAUAAAUUUUGAUCAAAAGUAAUUUUAUGUCAAAUUUUAUGGAUUCCUUGCUGUGCUAUUGAAACUUUAGUAGAAGAUAGGAAAUUUAGGGAAAUUUACAUAUCACAUCACAUGCUUAUAUGUUUUUGUUCAUAAAAAAAUUACAUUUCUUAAUAUAUAUUAUUUGAUAAUUGCUUGGUAAUUACGUUUGGAUGAUGAUAUAUUAAUUUUAAUAUUAAAUUGAUAGAUUUGUAAAUAACGAUCCAUAAUUUUAUCGAUAAUUUUUAUUAAUCAAGACCUAAAGUUUAGUGUUCUUGACUUUGCAUUGGUUCAUAGUCAUCAUUAAACUAAUUGUUUUAUGUGUUUAUUUGAUGGUUUCAAUUUGAAUAUAUAUAUAUUCUAAACUCUAAACAACAUAUGUUUUUGGAUUCUGAAUCAGUAUAAUUUUGAUUCAGUGUUCUUGACGUUGGGGUGUAUCAAUAAGUUAUUUUGAAAAUUUUCUAUUGAUGAAUUUUGAUUGGAUUCAAAGCAUAUAUGAUUGGAGCUUUAUUUGCUUACUUCUUGAAAAAAUUAUCAAGACUCAAUUUUAAACAAGAAAGGUAUAUAAACUUAUUAGAUCUCUAUUUUUACAUUUUUUUUGUCAACAAUAGUGUCUUUAAAUAUUAAAUUGGCCUGUAUUUGAGAUGGUAUUCCUUUUUAAGUUUUGAUUCCAUGGAUUACUUAUUAUUUUAAGCAUGUUAUUUGAUCAUGAAAAUGAAUAUUGAUUGACUUAUUUAUGUCACUGUAAUAGGUUCUAUAAUUAAAUAAUAUAUUUGACUAAAACAUAUUUAGUAGGUAAAAUUGUUUUGCUAAACCAAUAAAUUUUAUGAUUGUUCAUAUUUGAUUUAGUUCAAAUAUAGAUUACGUUCCUCUAAUGUUUCUUCUUUAUUUGGUUAUACAAUUUGAAAAUUUUCAAUACUAGUUCUAAAGACAAUUUUGAGUAAUGUCUAAAUUGAUUUUUGGGUUGAUUCUAAUUUAGAAUUUCAAGUUUAAUCGUUGUCAUUCAUAAUUCUUGAAUUACUUUGGUAGGAAACAUUUUCAUAAAUUUAAAAAUGAAAAUUAUUAUAUUAAUUUGGUCAUUGGUAUUUCUAUGGACCUCGUUUGUAUUAAUCGAUUGUUGUUUGAUAAAAAGCAUAAAAAACCUCUUGUGGUUUAAUUUUGUAAAUGACUUACACUUUUCCUACUAUACAACCCUAAGAAACUUGUUACUUUUGUAGUGCUGUUAAAGGUAGUUCAAACGCUUUAUAUUAUUCUAUUUGUUAAUAAUUUAGAGACAUGAUAUGAUCAAUUAUAAAUGAAAAGGUUUUAGUGAACAUGAAAUGUAUUAUUUUGAAGUAAAUUUCAUGCAUGUCUACAAUUGUUUAUGAAAUUUUUUCUAGCACUAGAUUAUAUUAAGUUUGCUAUUUUAAAAGUCAAUUUUAUGCAUACAUUUGGUUUACAAUAACUCCAUGGAUGACUUGAUUAUUUCUUUCUAGUUAAUUGAUGAUGCAAAACUCUUGUGAAAAGGAUUUUGAAAGUAUUAUGAAUUUAUCUCACACAUUCUUAUGGCUAAAAAAAAAUGAGUUUGUAACGCCCCUAACCCGAAUCCGUCGCCAGAAUAGGGUUAUAGAGCAUUACCAAAGUUUACAUAUUAAUUAUUAGACAUUUCAUUUCAUCUAGCAUUCAUAUUUGAAAUCAAUCAAAAUCAUACAUAUUGUCCCUUAAACGAGCCCUCGAGGCCUAAAUUUACGCAUUAGAAACACAUAAGGACUAAGUCGAAAACUCAGAAAAAUUUUCAAAAAUAUUUAAAGUUUCCAACACUGUAGGGGUCACACAGCCGUGUUUCAGCUUGUGUCUGUACCCGUGUGAGUAUACUGACUUGGGCCACACGCCCGUGUGCUAGGCCGUGUGAGCAUUCUAUUUGUGAAAAUUUAAGACACAGAGGACAUACGGCCGUGUCACCUGGCUGUGUGUCACACACGGUUGAGACACAUGCCCGUGUGGAUGAAAAUAAGCCAUUUUACAAGCCAUAUUUCUCACCCAAUUUUGUGUCUAUCUACAAUCAACAUUACACAUAUCAACAAGGCAUAAUUAGACGUUCAAAACAAGCCAAAAUAAGUCGCUAAACUCAACACAUUACAUAUAAGGCAUCAUUAGACAAAAUACCUAUACAUGCCAUUAUAACCAAAAUCAAAAUAUUCGAAAAUACCGAUAAAACCGAUGGAUAGUGUGAUAUAUCUACCACAAGCUUCCAACCUAAUCGAGCUUCCGGUAAUCUGAAAAGUAGAAGAAAACAAAUACAUAAGCAAUGAAUGCUUAGUAAGCUCAUAUAAACUUUAAUCAUAAUACUUCCUUUUCAAAUAUGAAAUUUAUACUUAUCAAGAAUAAUCUAAUAUUGCUACCACAAUACUCAUGAAGUUAUAUUUAACAACUCACUAAGUGAAUAAAGCUACAGUAUCACUUAUACAUAAUAUUCCUAGCAUAGUAGGAUUUUAAACAACUUUAACUCUUCCAAAAUUUCUUUAUUUUCAUUUGCGUUUCUUUACUUUCCACACUCAUUGCAUAUGCAUAACACACAAGUCAUAAGCACAUCAUUCAACCAUAGAUACAGGCUAGUACAUUUAAACAUAGUCCUUUUUUGAAUUAAUCACACGAUAACUCAUUUUAUAAGAAAUUGCAUAACUUAAAAUUUACUACUCUUUCAUGAACACAAGUAUAUUUUCACUUGAGCACUUACCCUUUCAACGCAUCAUAUAAUAAACAUAUUACCAUUUAACCAGUAACUUGGCACUUGUCUAAGCGUCAACAACAGCACUUGUUAGCAUACUUGAACAUAUUUCAUAUUUCAUAACCAGAAGGGUUCCGGACCUUUCUGGGACCAUGUUCUUGAUUACUGGAAACAAUCAACGGCAAACCAAACAAGGCCUUGUUCCUCAAAUACGAAGAAAUGAAAGGAAACCCAGUGGGUCAAAUAAAAAAGAUGGCGGAGUUCAUGGGAUGUCCGUUCUCAGAGGAGGAAGAGAAAGCGGGUGCCAUUGAUGAAAUAGCCGAGUUCUACAGCUUGAGCAACCUCAAGAACCUGGAAGUGAACAAAAGCGGCAGCCUCAAAACCAUGAAACGACAAACCAACUCUUUCUUCAGAAAAGCUGAGGCGGGUGAUUACGUUAAUAUUCUGAGCCCAUCGGCGGUGGAACGUUACAGUAAGAUCGUGGAUGGAAAACUCAGCGGUUCCGGUUUAACCUUCAAAAUGUGUUGUUAAGAUAAAAAAGUUUUACAGUUUCGAUGGAAUUGCUUUUUCAUCCCCCCUAUCCCGUGUAGCUCCGUGCGCUACAGUAAUUCACUUAUUUGGCUCAUCGAUUAAGUGAUUCCCCGCAGAAUAAACGCAUCUUUAUUCACUCAACUCUUGUAAUAGGAAUUUGUAAUAGGAAUUCAGUGGUGAGAACUCUGAAUAGCUAUUCAAACUCCCACUGUACCAAAUAAAAAAAAAUUCCAGAAUUUCUUUUUUACAAAAAUUGAUAUUUCUAUCUCAAAUUAGUGAAUCACAAAUCAAAUUCAAAUUAACAAUUUUUACUUUUUUAUUUUAAAUUAGACCAAAAAACAAAAAAAAAAAAAUUCUUUGAGCUUCAAGGGAAUAUAGGAAGUAGAUGUUGAGCUUACAAAUCCAAAAUGAAUAAAUCAUAUAAAUUAUUUAAAUAAUAAUAAUAUGGAGUUAGAGAUGAACUGAUGAUGCGAUGACCGGUGCAUGUAGCCGUUCUCAAAAUUAGCUUUUUUGGGUUCUUGAAUGAAGAAUAAUAGAAAUUUUAGGAAGAUGGAGAGGGAACGGGAAUAGGAACAAGCUAGAGAGAAUACAAAUGUAGAAAAAAAUGGAGGAUCAGAAUGGCAAGUGAGAAUGUGCUUUUCUAGAACCUUUGAAUGAGUCUACUCCAUUAAUAAAAUUUGAUGAUUGAGAAAAAGAACCAGAGAGAUGAGAAAGCUGAAAGGGAAUUGGUAAGGAAGGAGAGCAUUGAAAAAAGAUAAUGGAGGAUUAAAUGAGGCUGGGUGGGUUGGGGGGAGGGGGGGAGAGCAUUGAAAAAAUGAUAAUGG